UUUUGGUUAUAUUGAGCUGCAUGAAAUGUUUGCAUAAAAAGUAAAAUUUUUAUGUUUGACAGAAUGGCUUGAGAAUUGAAAGCACAAAAGAGAUGGAAGAAUUUAUUCAACUUUUUACCUCUAUCCUCAAUAUUCUGCAACAAGAUUAGUAAGACAUCUUCAGGGAGUUGUUUGGAACCUAGUUUUUUGGUUUGGUGGAAGAACAGACUUGCUAGGAGGUAUAUAAAUUUACUAUUUUUAAUAGUCCAAAAUCCAAAUUUAAGAGUCCAAAAUUGGCCCCACAUAGUCUGAUUACCAGUUAUAUUAUUCAAGAAAGAACUUAGGAAAAAAUUUAAUGAAAUAGUUCAAGAAUACGAAAGAAUGUAUGAUGACUUAUAGGUAAGUUACGAAGAAACCAUGAAUCCUCCUAGCAUAGAAACAAGACUGGCAACACCAUUGGAGGCCCGUGGCUCUGCUGUGUUCAUGUCCUCUUUCCUCACCCACAAAGUGACAAACCAUGUGGGUCUUGUGCAUGUCUGCUGGUGCACAUCAGGCCUCUCUGGGGAACGAAAGUACCAGAAGAGUUACGAGUGAUGACAGAGAUGACGGCUGACAUACAGAGCCAAGUCAGAGACUGGGGGGCAUCUGAGCUCCUCAUUAAACUGGCCCCUGACAUACGGCUAACCUUCCCAG